AGAGAACCUCUACAAAAAUGAAUUUUAAAUUUGAGGAUAACCGCAAAACAACGAUUUGGUGCAAAAAUUUUUUGUGACAUCUGUAACAACUCACUUUGAUUGGAAAAAUUUUUGUAUGAGUUCCCACAAAUCCACCCUGGUGAAUUAUUUUGAGUUGACAGGAAAUCUGAUAUUGAGAAUUAGUAUCAAUAUCAUAACAACCAGUUCAUCGAAAAUU
rnacentral:sRNA from 1 species